UACUGGUCCUGGUAGCUAGGUGUCCUGGUCUCACCUGAACACAUACUGGUCCUGGUAGCUAGGUGUCCUGGUCUCACCUGAACACAUACUGGUCCUGGUAGCUAGGUGUCCUGGUCUCACCUGAACACAUACUGGUCCUGGUAGCUAGGUGUCCUGGUCUCACCUGAACACAUACUGGUCCUGGUAGCUAGGUGUCCUGGUCUCACCUGAACACAUACUGGUCCUGGUAGCUAGGUGUCCUGGUCUCACCUGAACACAUACUGGUCCUGGUAGCUAGGUGUCCUGGUCUCACCUGAACACAUACUGGUCCUGGUAGCUAGGUGUCCUGGUCUCACCUGAACACAUACUGGUCCUGGUAGCUAGGUGUCCUGGUCUCACCUGAACACAUACUGGUCCUGGUAGCUAGGUGUCCUGGUCUCACCUGAACACAAACACAUACUGGUCCUGGUAGCUAGGUGUCCUGGUCUCACCUGAACACAAACACAAACUGGUCCUGGUAGCUAGGUGUCCUGGUCUCACCUGAACACAAACACAUACUGGUCCUGGUAGCUAGGUGUCCUGGUCUCACCUGAACACAUACUGGUCCUGGUAGCUAGGUGUCCUGGUCUCACCUGAACACAUACUGGUCCUGGUAGCUAGGUGUCCUGGUCUCACCUGAACACAUACUGGUCCUGGUAGCUAGGUGUCCUGGUCUCACCUGACUGCAAACUGGUCCUGGUAGCUAGGUGUCCUGGUCUCACCUGAACACAUACUGGUCCUGGUAGCUAGGUGUCCUGGUCUCACCUGAACACAAACACAUACUGGUCCUGGUAGCUAGGUGU